AUACGUAACCAGCACAACCUGAGCGCAAGCGGAAACGCCACCUGCUCCGUGAUCCGUGUUGUGCAUCGUCAUCCAUCGACGCAGGCGGCAGGCUGCACGAAUGGCGAGCAGCAGGGGGAGCGAACGACAGGAGGAGGAGGAGGCGCGUCGCGCCCCCGGCGUCGCGGGAGGGGGGGGUUUGCAACGCGCGCGCGCCGUGGUGGCGUAGUCGUUAACCUUGGAGCCGCCUUCCGGAACCCCACGACCGCCGCCGCCCCGGUCCGAGAACGGCGAGGAUCCCGCGAGCCUUGGCCUCCACUGCUGAUCCUCGAUACGGCCGUUUGCUUCCGUGGGAUGCAGUGACGCAGUUUUUAUGCGGUGUCUGCCGCGGUGCGUCCCGCCCUUGGGGUCCGGCAUUCCGUCGAACAUGUCCCGAGCACCAACGGCGUGCUCCUUUCUCAGAAAGUAACAGAGCACAUAUUGUCUCACUUUGGCUUGAAGGGCAGUAGCUUGGAAAUAACUUGAAUGCCAUGGCCUGGUCUGAUGGAAUGAGUUGCAUACUAUGAUCUCGUAUUCUUGUCAAGGUUGGUUACCUGGGUUCCCAUCAAAAUUGAUCUGUGGUGUGUAGAGCGCUGGCAUCUCGAGAACGACUUCGAAGAUCUUCCUUAUUUUUCAGUAAGCCUGCGUCUGUUCAGUUGUGCAAUUCCUUACCCAGUUAUUUCUUCGAGAUAGUGACACUGCAACGUGCACAUUUUUAGCUAUGAAUAUGCUACUUGCUGCUUAUAUAUAUGGUCUAAUA